GCGACUAUGGUGUAACGGUUAACACUGGAGCUUGUGGAGCUCUCAAUUCGGGUUCAAUUCCCGAUAGUCGCC
rnacentral:tRNA from 1 species